CACGUAGGGCGCAAGCGUUGUCCGGAAUUAUUGGGCGUAAAGAGCUCGUAGGCGGUCUGUUGCGUCCGCUGUGAAAAACUCGGGGCUUAACCCCCGAGCCUGCAGUGGAUACGGGCAGACUAGAGGUAGGUAGGGGGAGAAUGGAAUUUCCGGUGUAGCGGUGAAAAUGCGUAGAUAUCGGAAGGAACACCUGUGGCGAAAAGCGGCUCACUGGACCAUAACUGACGCUGAUGAGCGAAAAGCUAGGGGGAGCAAACGGG
rnacentral:rRNA from 1 species